rnacentral:rRNA from 1 species
GGCGGCAUGCCUUACACAUGCGAAGUCGAACGGCAGCACGGGAGCAAUCCUGGUGGCGAGUGGCGAACGGGUGAGUAAUAUAUCGGAACGUGCCCAGUCGUGGGGGAUAACGUAGCGAAAGCUACGCUAAUACCGCAUACGAUCUAUGGAUGAAAGCGGGGGAUCGCAAGACCUCGCGCGAUUGGAGCGGCCGAUAUCAGAUUAGGUAGUUGGUGAGGUAAAGGCUCACCAAGCCGACGAUCUGUAGCUGGUCUGAGAGGACGACCAGCCACACUGGGACUGAGACACGGCCCAGACUCCUACGGGAGGCAGCAGUGGGGAAUUUUGGACAAUGGGCGCAAGCCUGAUCCAGCAAUGCCGCGUGCAGGAUGAAGGCCUUCGGGUUGUAAACUGCUUUUGUACGGAACGAAACGGUGAGCUCUAAUACAGUUUGCUAAUGACGGUACCGUAAGAAUAGGCACCGGCUAACUACGUG